rnacentral:rRNA from 1 species
GUCGAACGGAGUUGAGGGGCUUGCUCCUCAAUUUAGUGGCGCACGGGUGAGUAACGCGUAGAUAAUCUGCCUGAUGAUCUGGGAUAACACUUCGAAAGGGGUGCUAAUACCGGAUAAGCCCACGAUGUCUUUGGACAUUGCGGGAAAAGGGGGGGACUUUCGGGCCUUCUGUCAUCAGAUGAGUCUGCGUACCAUUAGCUAGUUGGUGGGGUAAGAGCCUACCAAGCCGACGAUCUGUAGCUGGUCUGAGAGGACGACCAGCCACACUGGGACUGAGACACGGCCCAGACUCCUACGGGAGGCAGCAGUGGGGAAUUUUGGACAAUGGGGGAAACCCUGAUCCAGCCAUGCCGCGUGUGUGAAGAAGGUCUUAGGAUUGUAAAGCACUUUAAGUUGGGAGGAAGGGCAGUUAACUAAUAUUUGACUGUUUUGACGUUACCGACAGAAUAAGCACCGGCUAACUUCGUGCCAGCAGCCGCGGUAAUACGAAGGGUGCAAGCGUUAAUCGGAAUUACUGGGCGUAAAGCGCGCGUAGGUGGUUCGUUAAGUUAGGAGUGAAAGCCCCGGGCUCAACCUGGGAAGUGCAUUGGAUACUGGCAGACUUGAAUACGGGAGAGGGCAGUGGAAUUCCUGGUGUAGGAGUGAAAUCCGUAGAUAUCAGGAGGAACACCGGUGGCGAAGGCGGCUGCCUGGACCGAUAUUGACGCUGAGACGCGAAAGCGUGGGUAGCAAACAGGAUU